ensembl:lncRNA
AGAAUACUGGAGUGAGUGGGUAGCCAUUCCCUUCUCCAGGGGAUCUUCCCCACCCAGGGAUUGAACCCGGGUCUCCUGUGUUACAGGUAGAUUAUUUACCAUCUGAGCCACCAGGGAAGCCCCCUUUCUUUUUUUAAUGGGUGAGCUAUUACAAACAUAAGACUUCUUUAGCAUUCAUCCUAAGAACCAGGAUAUUGUCAAAAAUAGAAUGAUUUUCCCUAUUUCCAGGCUGAUGGUUAGCCUGCCACAGUUUCAUGGACGUUGGCCAGAGACACCAGAUUUCUGGGUCAGAGACCAAGGGCAUUAUUAACAGUGCAGGGGGCAACAGAUGCUUCACGUUCCUGUUGAUUCUCCUUGACUCUCAAGUUGCACAGGGAUGAUGUGAACUGGCCCACGUGGCUGCUACACAUGAAAUCAGUUUGUGUCACAGCUCAGGAACCCCAGGGUUUUCUAAUGAGCUGUAAACAAAUCUGCCCCAUCUUUGCCUGGGAGGGAGACUUUAACGUUAUGACAAUGGACUGCAAACAUACCUCCCCUCUGCUCUGAGGAUGUCUGGUCUAUAAACAUCCUCAAGGACACAGUGCAGAACAGAGCAAGACAUGUGGAAAUGUGAGUUAUCCCAUGGAGAACUAUCUCCCAAUGGACAUUUCCUCUAUAAUCAAAAUAUAAUGAAUGCACAUAUGAAAUUUAACGUGGAUAAAAUGUUAGCGCACACAACCUCUAAUCAAAAUUUCUCCCCACAAAUAUCCUUUCUUGAGGAUUCAAAAUAUAAUUUAAUUUUUAAGUUAUUUUUUAAAAAAACCUUGGGAAUUCUUUGGUGGUCCACUGUCUAGGGCUCUGCACUCUCUGCCAAGGGGCCUGCUGGGUUCAAUCCCUGGUCUGGGAACUAAGAUUCCACACGUUGUGAGAUGCAGCCGAAAAAAAGCAAAAAACUUACAUAACAAGUCCUGGGAAAAUAGACACUUAAAUAUAGCCUUCUGACAAAAGUGACUUUAUUCAACCCAGAAGAAUUGAGUAAGACAGGAACUGGAUGCCCGCACAGAAAACUGUCAUUUUUUUUUUUUUUCUCCCCAUAGAAGUUGUGAAAGCCCUCAUGAGCACCCACCCUUCUGUCACACGGAAGGACAAAUAGAGAACGGUCGUGUUAGUAUGACUAUAUAUGGGCCUUCAGAUGGGAUCUUUACUUGUUAUUCACAAGAGAACUCAUUUUGAGAGAGGGGCUCUGUCAAUGUUAUGAAUGUGGGUUUGACUUUAUGCUACAUUCUUUUUUUAAAAAAAAUCAUUGAAGUAAAAGAUGAUUUACAGUGUUUUGUUAGUUUCAGGUAUACAGCGAAGUGAUUCAGUUAUAUGUGCCUGUAUAUAUUGUUUCCAGAUUCUUUUCCCUUCUAGACAUAGUUGCCAAUGCUGCAUUUUUUACAUGGACCCCGAGUUCAUUAGCUUCUUGGCUUUUUCUUGCAUAAUAUAAAUACACAAGACCACAUAUAUCACUCUAAAUGCUCUCCAAGUUAUUCAACAAGUGGUGAUAGGUGAUCUUUUUACUUAUUGUGACUCAGUUCUAAAUAUCAUCUUAUUUCCAUUUUAACAGCCCUUUAGACACAUGGGUUAUUCAGGAAUAUGUCUUCUAGGCAGUGCUGGGGGUUCUCGGUCGCCUUGUUUUUCAUUUCCAUUCCAGUUGUUUGUGAUUGGAGUCAGUGACCUGUAGGAUGUGGAGUCUCUGGCAGCUGUUGGGACUUUCUGGGCCCAGUGUAGCACACAUUGCUCUGUGUCCGCUCUUCCCACUUCCUACUAUCACAACCUGGAUUUUGCUCAACUUGUUAAACGUUAAUAAAACAAAAAACAGAAAACCCAG